GACGAACGCUGGCGGCGUGCUUAACACAUGCAAGUCGAACGGAUCAUCGCUUUCGGGUGGUGGUGAGUGGCGAACGGGUGAGUAACACGUGGGUAACCUGCCCCAGGCUCUGGGAUAACUCCGGGAAACCGGGGCUAAUACCGGAUACGACUCCUGCCCGCAUGGGCUGGGGGUGGAAAGUUUUUCGGUCUGGGAUGGGCCCGCGGCCUAUCAGCUUGUUGGUGGGGUGAUGGCCUACCAAGGCGGUGACGGGUAGCCGGCCUGAGAGGG
rnacentral:rRNA from 1 species